rnacentral:lncRNA from 1 species
CCCCCUACCAUCCACAAGAAGAAGAUCAGCAAUUCUUAUGGAGUCAAUCAUCUUAAAACUGAUAAAGGUCAGCAAUUGGCUCAAGGAUAGAUUUUCAAUUCAUAGAUCAUGUAGGAUGCUCAUAGAGUGACCCUCCCUCACUAGCCAUCUCAUCUGGUGGAUCACAUCAAGGGCAUGGGCAUAGUUCUCCUUUCAUAGAAAAAAGGCACUACGGUUGGACGGGAUCUCUCCACUAGUA